rnacentral:lncRNA from 1 species
UUUGGUGUUGUGGUCUCUGUUAUUUUGGUAUAUGGAUUUUGCCUUAGUUUUGUUUGUAUUGCGCGGGUGAUUCGGUUUUGUUGGUAUUGUUUUGGUGAUUGUUGUGCUUCUUUCUUACCAGUUUCCUUCUUGAUCAAGUUUGUCUAGGGUUUUGGCGAAUUAUAUGAUGUUUGCGAUGGAUUGGUGUGGUUUUCUUGGAUUUUCGGAUUGCUAAUUCAGAAUAACCUAAUUUCUUUUCCAAUUUCCUUUCUAUUAUUUAGCUUCUCUGGUAUUGAUGACCGAUUAUUUUCUUAUGCGUUUAUUCGUGACUGGCUAUUUGAUGUCGGAGACUUAUCAAUUUGGUGUGUUAUUUGUGUUUAUUCCUAUUUGGUGUGUUUAUCCUGAUUUCUCGAUGAGUUUCCUUUCUAUUACGUAAUUUCUCUUGAUUUGAUCACCAAACGUCGGAUUGAAUUUUCAAUUGUUUCUCUACGCAGCGUUGUUUGGAUUAUUUCCGUUUAGUGUUAUCAGCAUCUCAUGGAGCAUGUUAUGAGCGACCGUGUCUCCCUUGGUUUUUUUAAUUCUUAAAUUGAUCUAAUUUUUUAUAAACUGUGUCCUCUAUUACCAGUUAUAGUAUUACCAGUUAUAGUUUUCUUGAAUUCUUGUUCUUUGCAGAGAUGUGAGAGAUGUGUGGGUUAGGAUGUGCAAAACAGUGGCGGGAGAUUCCUUGAACAGUGAAGCAUUAGUUGUUCUUUUUACUCUUACAUUAAUUUUUUCUUUUGCAUUAAUUCUUGAUUGGAUGAACUUUCGGGUUUAUUUUUAUUUUUUUCUUCUUAGGCAUAACCAAAUUUAUAAUGGAAGGCCAAAGAAUCUCCAAUUUUAGGAGAUGAUCAUGACCACUGGAUGGAAUAAUGACAUUUGUUCUUUUAGCAGUUUCUACUAUGGUGAUCUUUAGGGAUAAAUUGAAAAGGGUAACAAGUAUAAGUAAAUUUAUUUUUUUCUUUGAUUACACAUUUGUUGGUUUCUUGACAUUUUGUGAACCCUUUUUUCUUGCAGUGUGAUUGGAGUAGUUUUGGGUCGGUAUUCUAUUUGAACUGGAUUUUGUAUUCUCAAAUUUGCUUUGUGUUUCCACUUCUCGUCGGUCUAGUAUGUUAUUCCCACCGCUUCAUACCAAGCUCUAACUUUAUGCCUGGUGUUCUGUUGAUAUUUCCAUAUCAGGAAUGGUUUGGAUAUGUUUU